UUGUACGUCUAAGAAACUUGUAUACAUCAGUUAACCGCUGAAUCGUCAGUGCUCAGUUUCAUUAAAACGAUGAUGAUGACUAAUGAAUGUCAUCAAUAUUGGUACAGUGUAUAAUUUCCGAGAAGACGUGAUUCAAAAAUAUUCAUUUGUGCACAAUAUUUCUUGCUGAAAAUCGAAAUGAAAUCAAAUAUGAAUUUAUCUGUAUUGGGAGAUGAAGAACGCGAUGCAUUUUUUUUUUUAUCACAGAGUCAGAUAUCGGGUAAAAUGUAAACAUGAAAAACUCUCACAGGAGGUACUGCGUCCAAUGAAACUGCAACUAGAAAAUCGGAUUCAUUGUUUCAUUAGGCUAAAAAAAUGAACAAGACAAAAUCUUGCAAGGUGAUCUCCAAAAUAAUCCCUACUAUGGCAGCCUUAGUGUAGUUUCAUCAGAUAAAUCGACUACCACCAGUUUUGCAAUUUACUUAUUACGGUACUUUGGUACCGUCUAAGAUAAAACAUUAAAACGAAUAUUAUGUUGGAUGAAUAAAAUUUACUAUUCAACCUCUGGUAAUAUCGACAGAUUGCAAUUUAUAGAAGAGAAUAUUUUCAAUAUUCGCAUAACGUGUUGUUCUAGAAUUAAUUUCAUGUCCAACAUUUCCUAUCUCUACUUUCAUACUUAUGAAAAUACACUUUUGAUUUGUUUUUCUCGCCCUAUAUAGGACUCACAUGCUAAAUUGUAUGUGCACACUUUGUUAUUUUAUAUUCUUUUUUUUCUAUUGACGGUUCCUAUGAUCAUUAAAAUGAUGAUCAUUAAAAUGAUUAUUCACAGUUGAUAUUGUAUUAUAUUGUAUUGUACUGUAGAUAUACGUUUUUCACGUAUGAUUUUACCAAUCAGCACCGAUAAUAAUAAAAAUUUUUAUUUAUUUUAUACUUUAAACCUUUACAGAGAAUUGGUUUCAUUCUGGGGGUCUGUGUCACCCCUAUCAUCAAUAAUAUUUUAUCUAAGUUUAAAUAUCUGUACAUAAUCUGUAAAAUGCCCUAUGGCAGCGUUAUUUCCACGAAAAUCUUCAUUUCGGAAUGAUUGAUAAAUAAUGAUAUGUCAUUAUCAUUUUUGCUGUAAAUAUAUAUUUAAUUGUAGGUAAUAAUGUAUAAAGCAUUUCAAUUGUAUUCACAAAAUAGUUUAGGUAGUAUAGUUAGUAAUAUUUUUAUCAGAGAUACUGUACUUCAUUUCAACUUGCGAUUUACUUGAGUUAAUUUUCGAAAGUUCAAUCUUAUCGUUUUCCGUCCAUCACCCUUGAUUACUUGCAUGUAAUAAAAGUAUUCUUUAUUUACAUAAUAAAUCAUCACACACAAGCAUAUCAUUACUUAUUCAAAAAAAAAUUGAAAUCGUUAUCCCAUAAUCACAUCAUCAAUACCUGAUAAGGUCGUUUUUUUCAGUUUUCAUUGGGUAAUACAUUUGCAAAAAUUGCGAACAUGAAUAUAAGUACGAUAAAAAAUGUACAAAUUGGCUUUUAUAUUUUUUUGCAAGCGUACGCAUUGUGUAGAUAAGGAAAACAGUUGUAAGUGUGAAUUGAAUGUCAGCAUUUGACAGAGUAUUGAUCAAAAAGAAACGCUGAAAAAAUUAGAAUUUCAAAGAGUUGAAUAUUAUUUUCCCGAAACGUCAAUUCGAAAAAACAGCUGAGUACAAAAUUACAUUGUUGAAUGCAAUAUUUUAAGUGAUUGUUCUAACUUUUGGACAUGCAUUGCUAGCAAAAAAGACCAAUCUCGAAUACCAGGUGUGAUGAAAUAUAAUAGUUAAAUAUAGGAUAACCCUCAAAUCAAUAUGUUUGCUACGUCUUUCAAACUGUUUAUAGACACUGUAUAGAUACUUUAGGAACAGUUUGAUUUCGUGAAUAAAGAAUAUAGAUAACGGUUUUUCUGACACUCCCCCAUCAAAUGUUGACUUAAAAUCAUUAAUAUGUGCAGCGAUUCAAGAAAAUCGUAUCUAGUAUGAAUAAUGAUCAUAUCAGCAUCUGAUGUCUUUAUAUAUUUAAUAUUUGUUUACACCUCAUAUUUUGUAAUAUUUGGUAAUCGUGAAAUUAUAAUUAUAAGUUAGAUAUUAUGUAUGUAACCAUUUUCUGUAAUUAGGUAGGGUAUGUUCAUGUUGGUAAUAAAAUAUGUUAUUUUUA